rnacentral:rRNA from 1 species
CCUACGGGUUGCACCAGUGGGGAAUAUUGCACAAUGGGCGCAAGCCUGAUGCAGCCAUGCCGCGUGUAUGAAGAAGGCCUUCGGGUUGUAAAGUACUUUCAGCGAGGAGGAAGGCAUCAAGGUUAAUAACCUUGGUGAUUGACGUUACUCGCAGAAGAAGCACCGGCUAACUCCGUGCCAGCAGCCGCGGUAAUACGGAGGGUGCAAGCGUUAAUCGGAAUUACUGGGCGUAAAGCGCACGCAGGCGGUCUGUCAAGUCGGAUGUGAAAUCCCCGGGCUCAACCUGGGAACUGCAUUCGAAACUGGCAGGCUAGAGUCUUGUAGAGGGGGGUAGAAUUCCACGUGUAGCGGUGAAAUGCGUAGAGAUGUGGAGGAACACCAGUGGCGAAGGCGGCUCUCUGGUCUGUAACUGACGCUGAGGCGCGAAAGCGUGGGGAGCAAACAGGAUUAGAUACCCGAGUAGUC